CAAAGUGCUGUGUUAAUUGAAGUUAAUAGUACAUAAUCGAGAUAAGUAUCUGGUUAACUAAAAAUAAAUGUCAAUUUCAUUAAUUUGAUAAAUGAAAUCUUAUAAAUAUCAUAUAGCAGGUAACACAAUAAUAGUGAAUUAUCAAAACUUGUUCUCUGAAAUAAUAAUAACUGCUAUAAGUACAACUUUUUAACAGUUGACUUCAGUUACUAUAAAAGGCAUAAACAUAGAGAAGAAAAAAACAUUGUCCUUAUUAGAGAUGACAUAAUUUUGUAUGUAUGAAAUUAGGAAAAAUCCAGAAAUUUAUCCUAAAGAAAUAAUUCAAAAAUAAAAAUUACAUAGAUGUGAAUUGUGGUAGUUUUCCUGCUAUGUGCUCUCAAUGCAGCCAAAUCAUUUUAAUUUCAUUAUUUCUUUCUUUCUUUCUGUCUUGUAGGAUUUCACUAUGUUGCUCACACUGGCCUUGAACUCACCAUCCUCCUGAAUACCUGGGACUGCAGGCCUGUGCCACAAUGCACGGCUCAUUGUUUUUUUAUUCUAUAUUUCCAUUAUAGUAUAAGAGAAAGGUGGAAACACAAUUUUCAUAAGCUGAACACAGGUGCCCAUGUGAUGCUAAUGCCUCUGGUCUGUAGAUCUCAAUUGGAGAACAAUUAACAUAGACAAAAGCAGUGGUCCAGAUGUAAGACAGAGCCGAACUUCCAUUCUAGAAGCACUGUUGGAAUGCUUUUUUGACUGGAAAUACCAGUAUCUGAAAUCUGGAGGAAUACGACAAGGGAAGGAGAUCCACAGCAGAUGGCUACAUGGGGCAGAGCUGUUGACAAGUCACAGCCCUCUUGAAAUAGGAGUUCUUGGCUGGGUUGUUCUCACAGCAAAGCUGAAUAAUAACCUAUCAUGUUAGGGUCACUCUUAACAAAAACCCCAGGAAUGACUUUCCUUCUGAAACUCAGCAAGGACAAAACGACAGAGGAGAGAACAGUCGUGCCAACUUUAAAGGAAAGGUGGUUUCCCGGAUGGUGAUGACUGUGCACAUCCUAUGCUCUGUCAUUAUGCCAUGGCAGUGGGACUGGAAUGAGAAGCAAUCGAGUGAGAAUCAUGAAACACAAUGAAAAGGUGAAAUGAGCCUGAGUGCCAAGAGCCUUAAAAGUAAUUUGCUGUCAACGUACCUUAUAUACAAUCAGAGAUAUGAUAAAUUGUGGUAUAAAGGUGUAUUAAGAAUUGUAAUGCAAUAAUAAUAAUAAUAAUAAGAGAAAAAAAUAAAUAUGUAAAUGCAAGGACUAAAAAAAAUACAAAAAAAGAGCAUUUGC